AGCAGCCGCGGUAAUUCCAGCUCCAAUAGCGUAUAUUAAAGUUGUUGCAGUUAAAAGCUCGUAGUUGAAUUUCGGGGUCAGCGGGUUGGUCGUGCCAAUGCUAUGCACUGGCCUUGCUGAUUCCUCCCUCUUGAUGAGCCGUAAUGUCAUUAAUUUGGUGUUGCGGGGAAUCAGGACUGUUACUUUGAAAAAUUGAGCGUUUAAAGCAGGCAAGCGCUUGAAUACAUUAGCAUGGAAUAAUGAAAUAGGACGUUUGAUCCUAUUUUGUUGGUUUCUAGGAUUGACGUAAUGAUUAAUAGGGAUAGUUGGAGGCAUUAGUAUUCAAUUGUCAGAGGUGAAAUUCUUGGAUUUUAUGAAGACUUAACUACUGCGAAAGCAUUUG
rnacentral:misc_RNA from 1 species